rnacentral:misc_RNA from 1 species
GAUGAAGAACGUAGCGAAAUGCGAUAAGUAGUGUGAAUUGCAGAAUUCAGUGAAUCAUCGAAUCUUUGAACGCACAUUGCGCCCCUUGGUAUUCCAUGGGGCAUGUCUGUUCGAGCGUCAUUUGUACCUUCAAGCUUUGCUUGGUGUUGGGUGUUUGUCUCGCCUUUGCGUGUAGACUCGCCUUAAAAUAAUUGGCAGCCGGCGUAUUGAUUUCGGAGCGCAGUACAUCUCGCGCUUUGCACUCAUAACGACAGCGUCCAAAAGUACAUUUUACACUCUUGACCUCGGAUCAGGUAGGGAUACCCGCUGAACUUAAGCAUAUCAAUAAGCGGAGGA